GACGAACGCUGGCGGCGUGCCUAAUACAUGCAAGUAGGACGCAGUUGCGAACGGGUGAGUAACGCGUAGGUAACUACCUAUUAGAGGGGGAUAACUAUUGGAAACGAUAGCUAAUACCGCAUACUAGUAGAUGGACCUGCGUUGUAUUAGCUAGUAGGUAGGGUAAUGGCCUACCUAGGCAACGAUACAUAACCGACCUGAGGGGGUGACGGGCAAACGUGGACUUGGACACGGGCCCAGACCCCACGGGAGGCAGCAGUAGGGAAUCUUCGGCAAUGGGGGGAACCCUGACCAAGCAACGCCGCGUGAGUGAAGAAGGUUUUCGGAUCGUAAAGCUCUGUUGUGAAGGAAGCGGUACUUAACCAGAAAGGGACGGCUAACUACGUGCCAGCAGCCGCGGUAAUAC
rnacentral:rRNA from 1 species